rnacentral:rRNA from 1 species
UGACCGCUGGCGGCGUGCCUACUACAUGCAAGUCGAGCGAACGGACGCGAAGCUUGCUUCUCUGAUGUUAGCGGCGGACGGGUGAGUAACACGUGGAUAACCUACCUAUAAGACUGGGAUAACUUCGGGAAACCGGAGCUAAUACCGGAUAAUAUUUUGAACCGCAUGGUUCAAAAGUGAAAGACGGUCUUGCUGUCACUUAUAGAUGGAUCCGCGCUGCAUUAGCUAGUUGGUAAGGUAACGGCUUACCAAGGCAACGAUGCAUAGCCGACCUGAGAGGGUGAUCGGCCACACUGGAACUGAGACACGGUCCAGACUCCUACGGGAGGCAGCAGUAGGGAAUCUUCCGCAAUGGGCGAAAGCCUGACGGAGCAACGCCGCGUGAGUGAUGAAGGUCUUCGGAUCGUAAAACUCUGUUAUUAGGGAAGAACAUAUGUGUAAGUAACUGUGCACAUCUUGACGGUACCUAAUCAGAAAGCCACGGCUAACUACGUG